UACGAAGGGGGCUAGCGUUGCUCGGAAUUACUGGGCGUAAAGGGCGCGUAGGCGGAUGUUUAAGUUAGAGGUGAAAGCCCGGGGCUCAACUCCGGAAUUGCCUUUAAGACUGCAUCGCUAGAAUUGUGGAGAGGUAAGUGGAAUUCCGAGUGUAGAGGUGAAAUUCGUAGAUAUUCGGAAGAACACCAGUGGCGAAGGCGACUUACUGGACACAUAUUGACGCUGAGGUGCGAAAGCGUGGGGAGCAAACAGG
rnacentral:rRNA from 1 species